GACGAACGCUGGCGGCGUGGAUUAGGCAUGCAAGUCGAACGGUAUCAUCCUUUCGGGGGUGAGAGAGUGGCGAACUGGUGAGUAACACGUAGGUUAUCUACCCUCAAGACGGGGACAACCCAGGGAAACUUGGGCUAAUACCGGAUGUGAGCAACUUUUUAGUUGUUUGAAAGGUGGCGUAAGCUGUCGCUUGGGGAUGAGCCUGCGUCCUAUUAGUUAGUUGGUGAGGUAACGGCUCACCUAGGCAAUGAUAGGUAGGCGGCCUUAACGGGUGGUCGCCCACACUGGGAUUGAGAUACGGCCCAGACUCCUACGGGAGGCAGCAGUCGAGAAUAGUCUACAAUGGUCGGAAGACUGAUAGUGCGACGCCGCGUGAACGAUGAAUCCCUUCGGGGUGUAAAGUUCUUUUCUAUGUGAGCAGUUCCUUUUAUAUGAAGAGUAUAGAAGGGGGAUUUAAGCAUAGGAAUAAGCAACGGCUAACUCCGUG
rnacentral:rRNA from 1 species